rnacentral:rRNA from 1 species
UACAGAGGGUGCAAGCGUUAAUCGGAAUUACUGGGCGUAAAGCGCACGUAGGCGGUUUUUUAAGUCAGAUGUGAAAGCCCCGGGCUCAACCUGGGAAUUGCAUUUGAAACUGGGGAACUAGAGUAUGUGAGAGGGGGGUAGAAUUCCAAGUGUAGCGGUGAAAUGCGUAGAGAUUUGGAGGAAUACCAGUGGCGAAGGCGGCCCCCUGGCACAACACUGACGCUCAGGUGCGAAAGCGUGGGGAGCAAACAGG